AGGAGGACAUGGGGAAUUCAGGAAAAUAUGCUGUCGCUGUUAACUUUGUGAGACUCUGAGAUGCUCUUGAGCUAUAUGGACAAAAAUAGUAAAGGAAAACAAAAACAGAAACAGAAAAACCAACCAG